rnacentral:rRNA from 1 species
UACGGAGUGUGCAAGCGUUACUCGGAAUCACUGGGCAUAAAGGGCGCGUAGGCGGGCUUUCAAGUCGGUUGUGAAAUCCCUCAGCUCAACUGAGGAACUGCAUCCGAUACUGCUUGUCUUGAGGACGAGAGGGGAGAGUGGAACUUCUGGUGGAGCGGUGAAAUGCGUAGAUAUCAGAAGGAACGCCGGUGGCGAAAGCGGUUACCUGGAGCUUUGCUGACGCUGAUGCGCGAAAGCGUGGGGAGCGAUCCGG